rnacentral:sRNA from 1 species
AUGGUAACCCUAGGCAUAGUAAAAGUAAGAGUAAAGCAAAGCAUGAGAAGCACAAGUGAAAGCUUUCCCCACAAUACCCUUCCACUGUGCCUCAACCCUGACCAGAGGGAUCCCCUGAAGGGCUGAGGAUGUACUCAUUUUCCAUAGCCAGGCAACA